UACCGAGUGAGGGCCCUCUGGGUCCAACCUCCCACCCAUGUUUAUUGUACCUUGUUGCUUCGGCGGGCCCGCCUCACGGCCGCCGGGGGGCUUCUGCCCUCUGGCCCGCGCCCGCCGAAGACACCAUUGAACACUGUCUGAAGAUUGCAGUCUGAGCAAUUAGCUAAAUAAGUUAAAACUUUCAACAACGGAUCUCUUGGUUCCGGCAUCGAUGAAGAACGCAGCGAAAUGCGAUACGUAAUGUGAAUUGCAGAAUUCAGUGAAUCAUCGAGUCUUUGAACGCACAUUGCGCCCCUUGGUAUUCCGGGGGGCAUGCCUGUCCGAGCGUCAUUGCUGCCCUCAAGCACGGCUUGUGUGUUGGGCCCCGUCCUCCUUCCCGGGGGACGGGCCCGAAAGGCAGCGGCGGCACCGCGUCCGGUCCUCGAGCGUAUGGGGCUUUGUCACCCGCUCUUGUAGGCCCGGCCGGCGCUUGCCGACAACCAUCAAUCUUUUUUCAGGUUGACCUCGGAUCAGGUAGGGAUACCCGCUGAACUUAAGCAUAUCAAUAAGCGGAGGAAAAGAAACCAACAGGGAUUGCCUCAGUAACGGCGAGUGAAGCGGCAAGAGCUCAAAUUUGAAAGCUGGCCCCCUCGGGGUCCGCAUUGUAAUUUGCAGAGGAUGCUUCGGGAGUGGCCCCCAUCUAAGUGCUCUGGAACGGGCCGUCAUAGAGGGUGAGAAUCCCGUAUGGGAUGGGGUGUCCGCGACCAUGUGAAGCUCCUUCGACGAGUCGAGUUGUUUGGGAAUGCAGCUCUAAAUGGGUGGUAAAUUUCAUCUAAAGCUAAAUAUUGGCCGGAGACCGAUAGCGCACAAGUAGAGUGAUCGAAAGAUGAAAAGCACUUUGAAAAGAGAGUUAAAAAGCACGUGAAAUUGUUGAAAGGGAAGCGCUUGCGACCAGACUCGCCUACGGGGUUCAGCCGGUAUUCGUACCGGUGUACUUCCCCGUGGGCGGGCCAGCGUCGGUUUGGGCGGCCGGUCAAAGGCCCUCGGAAUGUAACGCCUCUCGGGGCGUCUUAUAGCCGAGGGUGCCAUGCGGCCAGCCCGGACCGAGGAACGCGCUC
rnacentral:rRNA from 1 species